rnacentral:rRNA from 1 species
ACCCGCUGAACUUAAGCAUAUCAAUAAGCGGAGGAAAAGAAACCAACAGGGAUUGCCUCAGUAACGGCGAGUGAAGCGGCAAAAGCUCAAAUUUGAAAUCUGGCUCUUUCAGAGUCCGAGUUGUAAUUUGUAGAAGAUGCUUCGAGUGUGGUUCCGGUCUAAGUUCCUUGGAACAGGACGUCAUAGAGGGUGAGAAUCCCGUAUGUGACUGGGUACCUACGCUCAUGUGAAGCUCUUUCGACGAGUCGAGUUGUUUGGGAAUGCAGCUCAAAAUGGGUGGUAUAUUUCAUCUAAAGCUAAAUAUUGGCCAGAGACCGAUAGCGCACAAGUAGAGUGAUCGAAAGAUGAAAAGCACUUUGGAAAGAGAGUUAAACAGUACGUGAAAUUGUUGAAAGGGAAGCGCUUGCAAUCAGACUUGCACCUGAUGUUCAGCGGGGUUUCGCGCCCCGUGUACUUCAUCAGGUUCAGGCCAGCAUCGGUUUGGGUGGUUGGAUAAAGGCCUUGAGAAUGUGGCCCUCUUCGGGGGGUGUUAUAGCUCUCGGUGCAAUGCAGCCUACCUGGACCGAGGACCGCGCUUCGGCUAGGAUGCUGGCGUAAUGGUUGUAAGCGACCCGUCUUGAAACACGG